AUGGAAAUGUUCCUAAAACUUUUCACUUCACAGCUGCUUUUACUUUUCAAGUCCGUGCUUAAAAUAGCCUGGAGCCUUUUCCGAGGCGGCCUGGCCUCUUCUUUGCCUCUUCAGACAGCUUCCUCUGCACACGCGGUAGCUGCCGGAAGGGGUUCCAGCCCACCUGGUCUCACAGCUUGCUGCCCUCGGCCCCCGAGCGUGGGCAGCAAAGCCCCCUGGGACCUGCACGGUCUGCGGAAGGAGCGGACGAGGGGAGAGGGGUCCUCGAGGGGCAGCGGGCCCGGCACCUCCAGGACCCCCGAGGGCCCCCAGCCGGCAGUGCAGGGGUGGUCCCGUGCUGGCUCCGUUCCUGUUCGGGAAACUGGCCACGAGAAGGAGGUGGGUGUCCCAGAGUCAGCGGGGCAUCCUUGCCGCGGCCCUGGGAGGAGCCCGGUGGACUCUGAGGGACAGACGGGCCAAGAGGCAGGUCUGUGUCCCUCUGUCUCCUGGGUCAGCGGGAGAAGAGUCCUGUGUGUGGCUGCGGUGUCAGGAGUUAGGACUCUUUCCCAAGAGGACAAGGGCUCGGGCUCGCCCUAGGAGAGAUGGGGACAGUCACAGGAACCGCUGUCUGUGGUCUGCAGCCUGGGUGAGGAACCAGGCUGAGAAAGUCUUGCCAAAGGAACAGCCGUUUACCUGGAACCGGGACCACGGGCUUUCUCUGACUCGUGCGUGUGUUUAGAAGCGUGGCCGCCCGCGUAUUCCCGCGGGUUCAGCCUCUGAGCUCUGGGGGGACCCCGCUCCAGCCCCAGCCGGCCCUGCCACGUGCCUCCCCAGUCUGCCCCAGGCCGAGUCUGUGCCUUCCCCCCUGCAGGCCUGGCCUCCUCUCCCGCGUCCUUGCCAAGGCACUGCCGGCCGUGGGUGUCCAGAUGGAGGAAGCAGGGGUGCUGGGAGGCCAGGUCAGGGAGCAGGUGCGGGGCGUGCCCGCUCUGGGGCGGCUCGGCCGCAGAGAGAAGCGGGCCGGGAGGUUGCGAGCACCAGGACGGGGGCGGGGGCGUGGUUCGUUAUUCCCCAGAAUUCCAGGGACUCCUGUCUGGUUUGUUUCCCGGCCUUCGGCUGGAAGGGGCCGAAUCUGCAGUUGCUAAGCCGACUUUGAGUUCUGAAUGGAUCUUUUAACGAACGCAAACAUGGCAGGAGCCGUUCCCAGAGCCACUUUGAGGUCGGAGGGUGGGGUCCCGGCCGCAGAGUGGGCAACGGGACCACCUGUGGUUCUGCCGCUGGACUGGGGUCAGGGUCUCCUGCCAGCCUCCGGCAGCACUGGAAGGAGGAGUCUGCGGCCCGCACGGCAGCAGUGAAAACUCCUGUGCUGCGGGCACCACGGGCAGAGCUCCGUCCGCGUGCGGUGUGGGCCGGGGCAAGGGGGGGGGGGGCCCUCUCAGUGAAUUGCUUCAAGCGGUUCACCCUUCAAGGUACAUCAUUUAUUUAUUAAAAAAAAUUUUUUUUAAUGUUUUUAUUUAUUUUUGAGACAGAGACAGAGCAUGAGCAGGGGAGGGGGCAGAGAGAGAGGGAGACACAGAACUGGAAGCAGGCUCCAGGCUCC
rnacentral:lncRNA from 1 species